AGCUCCAAUAGCGUAUAUUAAAGUUGUUGCAGUUAAAAAGCUCGUAGUUGAAAUUCUGGACGUCCGGGUCUCCAGUCUUUAGGCGGGGAUACCGGCGUUCAUCCGCUUGCAAGCAUCCGUUCGCCCUUCACCAGGCGGCCAUGUGAGUAAGCAUUUUACCUUGAGAAAAACAGAGUGUUCCAGGCAGGUUUGUCCGGGAUGCAUUAGCAUGGAAUAAUAGAACAUGACUGAAGUCAAGUUAUUGGUUGUAGACUUUAGUAAUGAUUAAUAGGAACAGUCGGGGGCAUUCGUACUCAGCAGUCAGAGGUGAAAUUCUAAGAUUUGCUGAAGACGAACUAAUGCGAAAGCAUUUGCCAAGGAUGUUUUCA
rnacentral:rRNA from 1 species